UACGUAGGGAGCAAGCGUUAUCCGAAUUUAUUGGGUGUAAAGCGUGUGUAGGCGGUUUUAUAAGUCUAAGGUCUAAUUCCGAAGCUUAACUUCGGUUCGCCUUAGAAACUGUUUUACUUGAAUGCGGUAGAGGCAAGUGGAAUUUCUAGUGUAGCGGUAAAAUGCUUAGACAUUAGAAGGAACACCAGUGGCGAAGGCGACUUGCUGGGCCGUGAUUGGCGCUGAGACACGAAAGCGUGGGGAGCAAAUA
rnacentral:rRNA from 1 species